UGUUACAAAUUUCAUCCAUUUGUAUAGUUAAAAACUGAUGUGUACGAUGGAAUAACCUGAUAGAGACGUGGUCUGCUACAUGUACCUCAUGUUAAUGUAUAGGGACCAGUUUUAACAGAAGAAAUGGAUGAAAUUUUUAACA
rfam:Gossypium hirsutum cultivar TM-1 chromosome 19, whole genome shotgun sequence